rnacentral:rRNA from 1 species
CGGCUACCAUGCAGUCGAGCGGUACAGGGGAAGCUUGCUUCCCGCUGACGAGCGGCGGACGGGUGAGUAAUGUAUGGGGAUCUGCCCGAUAGAGGGGGAUAACCACUGGAAACGGUGGCUAAUACCGCAUAAUCUCUUAGGAGCAAAGCAGGGGAACUUCGGUCCUUGCGCUAUCGGAUGAACCCAUAUGGGAUUAGCUAGUAGGUGGGGUAAUGGCUCACCUAGGCGACGAUCCCUAGCUGGUCUGAGAGGAUGAUCAGCCACACUGGGACUGAGACACGGCCCAGACUCCUACGGGAGGCAGCAGUGGGGAAUAUUGCACAAUGGGCGCAAGCCUGAUGCAGCCAUGCCGCGUGUAUGAAGAAGGCCCUAGGGUUGUAAAGUACUUUCAGUCGGGAGGAAGGCGUUGAUGCUAAUAUCAUCAACGAUUGACGUUACCGACAGAAGAAGCACCGGCUAACUCCGUGCCAGCAGCCGCGGUAAUAAA